rnacentral:rRNA from 1 species
AUUGAACGCUGGCGGCAUGCUUUACACAUGCAAGUCGAGCGGCAGCGCGGGGGGCAACCCUGGCGGCGAGCGGCGAACGGGUGAGUAAUGCAUCGGAACGUACCCUGGAGUGGGGGAUAACGCCGCGAAAGCGGCGCUAAUACCGCAUACGAUCUACGGAUGAAAGCGGGGGAUCGCAAGACCUCGCGCGAUUGGAGCGGCCGAUGGCAGAUUAGGUAGUUGGUGGGGUAAAGGCUCACCAAGCCGACGAUCUGUAGCUGGUCUGAGAGGACGACCAGCCACACUGGGACUGAGACACGGCCCAGACUCCUACGGGAGGCAGCAGUGGGGAAUUUUGGACAAUGGGCGCAAGCCUGAUCCAGCCAUUCCGCGUGCAGGAUGAAGGCCUUCGGGUUGUAAACUGCUUUGUUACGGAACGAAACGGCCUUUCUAUACAAGAGGCUAAUGACGGUACCGUAAGAAUAAG